rnacentral:rRNA from 1 species
GACGAACGCUGGCGGCGUGCCUAAUACAUGCAAGUCGAGCGAGUCUGCCUUGAAGAUCGGAGUGCUUGCACUCGGGGACACAAGAGACAGGCUAGCGGCGGACGGGUGAGUAACACGUGGGUAACCUGCCCAAGAGAUCGGGAUAACACCUGGAAACAGAUGCUAAUACCGGAUAACAACAGAUGACGCCUACCAACUGUGUAAAAGAUGGUUCUGCUAUCACUCUUGGAUGGACCUGCGGUGCAUGAGCUAGUUGGUAGGCUAACGGCCUACCAAGGCGAUGAUUGAUUGCCGAGUUCAGAGACUGAUCGGCCACAUUAGCACUUGGACACCGCCCAUACUCCUACGAGAGGCAGCAGUAGGGUAUCUUCCACAACGGUCGCGAGUCUUAUGCAGCAGCGCCGCGUGAGUGAAGAAAGGGUUCGGCUCGUAAAGCUCUGUUGUUGGUGAAGAAGGACAGGCGUAGUAACUGACCUUUGUUUGACGGUAAUCAAUUAGAAAGUCACGGCUAACUACGUG